rnacentral:ribozyme from 1 species
UUUGCAAGUUGUUUAUCAUGGGACUCAUCACGAUCACUUUUGUUGGUUGGAAAUCGCGUUUCGUCCUCUCUCUUCUCUCUAGAGUUUAGUUCUGGACGCUCCAGCAAAGUUCAGAAAAUCAAAGAAUAUCAAGCCUCCUC